GGCUUCGGUGGCCUAGUGGUUAGAGCGCCCGCCUCUGAUGCAAAAAGUUUUGGGUGCGAUCCCCGGUCGAGUCA